AUUCAACGUUGAGUCUCUGGACUGC
rnacentral:piRNA from 1 species